rnacentral:rRNA from 1 species
CUUAGCACUCAUCGUUUACGGCGUGGACUACCAGGGUAUCUAAUCCUGUUCGCUCCCCACGCUUUCGCUCCUCAGCGUCAGUUACAGACCAGAGAGUCGCCUUCGCCACUGGUGUUCCUCCACAUCUCUACGCAUUUCACCGCUACACGUGGAAUUCCACUCUCCUCUUCUGCACUCAAGUUCCCCAGUUUCCAAUGACCCUCCCCGGUUGAGCCGGGGGCUUUCACAUCAAACUUAAAAAACCGCCUGCGAGCCCUUUACGCCCAAUAAUUCCGGACAACGCUUGCCACCUACGUAUUACCGCGGCUGCUGGCACGUAUUUAGCCGUGGCUUUCUGGUUAGGUACCGUCAAGGUACCGCCCUAUUCGAAACGGUACUUGUUCUUCCCUAACAACAGAGCUUUACGAUCCGAAAACCUUCAUCACUCCGGCGGCGUUGGCUCCGUCAGACUUUCGUCCAUUGGCGGAAGAAUCCCCUACU